rnacentral:lncRNA from 1 species
CUUAAGAAUAGGGUCCUGAUUCAACUAUGAUUUUUAUUUGUUUGACUGAUUUCCUUUUGGAUAAUGAAGGUAUCUUUAGUCACCAUAUCUUCUGAGACAUUUGUGGAAAAAAAAUUUUAACAAAAGAAUAAUGGAAAUCUGAAGGCCUGGCAUGGUAGCUCAUUCCUGUAAUCUCAGUUCUUUGGAAGGCUGAGACAGGAGGAUCGCUUGAGGUCAGGAGUUCAAGACCAGCCUGGGCAAUACAAUGAGACCUCGUCUCUGCAAAAAUAAAAAAUAAAAACUAUCCAGGUGAGGUAGCACACAUCUGUAGUCCCAGCUCCUUGGAAAGUUGAAGCAGGAGGCUUGCUUGAGCCCAGGGCUUUGAGGGGUGACCUGAGACAGGAUUAAUGGCAUCAAACUGAAUAUAACCUGUUUGGAAAACAGAACGUUUUAGCAUUUCCUCUCACUUUAUACUUUACCACAAUUAGAGGAUGCAAGUUGGGAAAUCUGCAUCAUAGUUUCCCUGGAGAAGCAAAAGGAUAUAAAGAAUGAAACAACUUACAUAGUGAGAUGAUUAGAAGAGUAAGAAAACCAUGCAGAAGCCCUGAAGUAUCAGAGCUACAUCUUCGCAAAAUGGCAUGGCAUUAUACUCUAAGAAAAUUUUGAGGCUUAAUUUCACCCAUUAUCAGGUAAAAUCAAAAUUAUUUUAAGCAGUGAUUAUCAACAUAUACAAUUAAUAAGAUUAACAAUUAAUAUUUGGGUGUCUUUAUUUUGUUCUAGUCUUUCCCCCAGAACAGUAUCACUAUUCAUUAUAAAUGGUUCAAGGAUAUAAUUUGUCAUUUUAACAUGUAAUUUUUUGUUGUAUUUAUAAAAUUUGAAAGUAUGAGGAAGUGUGGAUUCUAACACUAGUCUCAGUUAACUAUGGUUAUAACCAUAUCCAUUCAUUUGGACCAUGAAGUGUUGUAAAGCUAUCACUAUGCACCUGUUGAUAAUUUAUCUGAAUUGCAGACACAGCUUGUGGGAAGAGGAAAAGUAUCCAUAUUUAUUUGCUUGGCAAACCCAAAACUCAGAAAAAAUACCGAUAGUCCUUAUAGAAAUGCUAUGGCUGUAUGUCUAGCAUGAUACUAUAAACAAAUAGGUGAUUACCUAAAGCCCCCAUGGCCAACAGGACUGUGAGAAAUAAAUUUGGAGGUGAGAUUACAUGGCUGACUUGGAUCCGCUAGGGAACAUACAACUCUCGCAAAAUUAUGCAGUGAGACUUUGAGUGGUAGCUUUGGAAUAACUAGUACUUCCAUUUUCGACAUUUGGCUAUUUUAAACCUAGCUUUCUCUGAUACCAAAUGCCUGAAGGGUUCUACAAAAACAUUUAACAUAUUUUAAAUGCAGUAGCUUUACAAAUACUUGAUAAUUUUUUACAAAUACUUGAUAAUUUAAAUUAUAAACUUCAGAUACACUUCAUAACUCCUUCACAGCUCUGAAUUCCAUACUGUAUCUGGUUUUGUUUUAUAUAUCAUCUGAAAUUUAAAGACACUUUCAUCAUGUUUGAAGUAAAAUAAUUAAUGAAAUGUACACAAACAGUAUUCUCUAAGGCAUUUCUAACCAAUCAUCAAGGAUGGCAUACAACAUGUUUCUUAAAAGUGUUAUGAUAGCAUAUUAUUCUAAAUUUGGUUACUCCCAGAGAGUCUAAAGGAACAUUACCAAAGGAUAUAGCUCAAUGAGUAUGCAGCCUUAAAUAACUGAAUAAUUUAGUUAUGAUUUAACCCAAUAAAAUCACUGUCCUAAAUUACCAUAUACUAUGUGGCUUUUCUACCAAGAAGUUCUAAGGUGCAUGGGAUAAGUGUGAAGAAGCAGUCUUACGUACGGCAUAUUGUCCCAGACCUCUAAGCCCAAUUUGCCCCCAAAUUCAGUACUUAACUCUGAUGAAGUAUACUGAAUCCAAAAUAUUGACAUCCUCAUUUUAAAAAUCCCCAUAACUUAAUAUCAAUAAGCACAUAUGAUGAGUUAUGAGAUAGCAAUCUAGUAAUUCCAAGGCCAAAUUCUUAUAGCAAGCUAUGCAUAUUUCUAAUGCUGAUACUCACUCCUGUGUUUUGCAUGCUUGACCUUGUGCAGUAACUCCUUAGUGCAAGGUCAAGCACCUCACUAUGUUGUUUCAAAAGAAGAAUCCAUUAGGCAAAUUGGGCAAAAAUUUGUUGGAGGAAACAAACAGAAGCAGAGUCUGAGAAUGGUCUGAAUGGAGGAGUCAUGGUUGGAGUCAGAGAGCAAUGAGAAAACCCAGAGAUCAUGAAAAGGGCUGUGCCUACUCUGAUCUAAAUAAAAAGAGAUUUCCUGACUUUUAAGAAAAUCUGCAUUUUUAACACCAUUAUUUUAUCCUCAUAAUACUACAUUCUAGAUUCUUAAGGAGGAAUGAACAAUACUCCUCUCCCAAUUUUCCUAUCUGUAUAACUCACCAACUUGACAUAAUAUACAUCAAGGAAUUAUUUUUUCAAACAGUAAAUUAUUGAUCCAGUGACCAAAAGAAGUUCCUAAAAGAGUUUAACAUUCACCCAAGGAGUAAUUUGUUAUACUGGAGAACCAUGGAAGAACUUUCUAAAUCAGUGUGAUUUACAGAAAUACAUAUUUUGUAUUUAUAUUACAUGAGCUGAAAGUACCACGCUGGCAAUUCACAGAAGCUGUCUUUAUAAACAAAGUGAAGUGUCUCCCAUC